rnacentral:rRNA from 1 species
AUGCGUGUGGCACUGGUGGUGCCUCGUUUGCCGGAGGCAGCACCGAGUCGAGCGGCCGGUGCUGCAAGAGGCUUCACGGUGGGUGGCGGCCUCUUCGGCGGCGACAGUGUGGCGACCCGCCUCCAUCCCCCUCUCCCUUCCUUGCCCGUGGCGAUGGACGAGGACCAUGGCCCGACCUCCUUCUCCAUAACCCGCACCCGCGCUCUCCUAUUUUCGCCGCUGGACUCUCAUCGCCACGGCGGCGGCGGCCCCUGCCCCCACUCCACGCUCCUCUUCUCUUCGUCGCGCACGGCGGCAGAAGGAGGGUUUCUGAUGGGAGCAAGGCUUGCGACCCCUCCGUCACAACUGCUCCGGGGCCCGGACAAAGCCGAGGCCGUCUCUGUGAACUCUCCAGCGAGCUGA